AUUGAACGCUGGCGGCAGGCCUAACACAUGCAAGUCGAACGAGACCUUCGGGUCUAGUGGCGCACGGGUGCGUAACGCGUGGGAACCUGCCCUUAGGUUCGGAAUAACUCAUCGAAAGGGGUGCUAAUACCGGAUAAUGUCUUCGGACCAAAGAUUUAUCGCCUUUGGAUGGGCCCGCGUAGGAUUAGGUAGUUGGUGGGGUAAAGGCCUACCAAGCCGACGAUCCUUAGCUGGUCUGAGAGGAUGAUCAGCCACAGUGGGACUGAGACAGGGCCCAGACUGAGGCGGGAGGCAGCAGGGGGGAAUAUUGGACAACGGGCGAAAGCUUGAUCCAGCAAUGCCGCGUGAGUGAUGAAGGCCUUAGGGUUGUAAAGAUCUUUUGCCAGGGAUGAUAAUGACAGUACCUGGAGAAUAAGCACCGGCUAACUACGUGCCAGCCGCCGCCGUAAGAC
rnacentral:rRNA from 1 species